UACGGAGGGAGCUAGCGUUGUUCGGAAUUACUGGGCGUAAAGCGCACGUAGGCGGCGAUUCAAGUCAGAGGUGAAAGCCCGGGGCUCAACCUGGGAACUGCAUUUGAAACUGGCGGGCUUGAGUAUGGCAGAGGGGGGUGGAAUUCCGCGUGUAGCAGUGAAAUGCGUAGAGAUGCGGAGGAACACCGAUGGCGAAGGCAGCCCCCUGGGCCAAUACUGACGCUCAGGCACGAAAGCGUGGGGAGCAAACAGG
rnacentral:rRNA from 1 species